rnacentral:rRNA from 1 species
UACGUAGGGGGCAAGCGUUGUCCGGAAUUAUUGGGCGUAAAGAGCGUGUAGGCGGUCCGAUAAGUCGGUUGUGAAAGUCAAGGGCUCAACCCUUGAAUGCCGACCGAUACUGUCGGGCUAGAGUCCGGAAGAGGCGAGUGGAAUUCCCGGUGUAGCGGUGAAAUGCGCAGAUAUCGGGAGGAACACCAAUGGCGAAGGCAGCUCGCUGGGACGGUACUGACGCUGAGACGCGAAAGCGUGGGGAGCAAACAGG